GGGCAGUCAUCGCGAAGAGUUGUCAACGGUGGGCGUCCACCUGGACUAUCGACGAAAAAGUCUUCCCACCUACUUGGACCUGUCUUGUUGAACAAGGCACCAGUCCCCCUACGACGGGACGGGUAAUUCUUCGGCUCUAUCUCUUGAGUCAUCUUCCGUGUUGAACAAGGCACCAGUCCCCCUACGACGGGACGGGUAAUUCUUCGGCUCUAUCUCUUGAGUCAUCUUCCGUGUUGAACAAGGCACCCGUCCCCCUAUCACGGGAUCUCAUUCUCCACUGCUGGAUCAUCCGAUGGCAGGGAGAGCUUUAGGAGAAAGAGAACAGAGAUGAGGGCGGCAGCUCUCGAGAGAAGGAAGGGCCUUGCUGGUCUUUCAGACGCCGGCGACUUCUUCCCGGCCCUGUCGGGGAGAACAGUUCCAGAGUGUACUCUCUUCUUCACCCGCAAGCCCAGUACCAUGGACCACCGCUUUGCUCAUCAAUUCUGCUCAUCGGGGUGCAGGAGCUUCCAGCUCUUCCCGACGAGCUUUGCGGCUCCCCACAGUAUCUCCCGGGCGUUCGAGGUCGGUGACCGGCCGCCGCCGACGAUCAGAGGCAAGCACUCCUCUUCACCCAUGGCUCAGGUUCUGUUUCCUUACGUUCUGCUCAGUUGCAGAACAAACUAACGCGUUCUCUUUGUGAACUCUUUCUAAUGGGGGGUAGUCAUCGCGGAGACUUGUCAACGGUGGGCGUCUGCCUUGAUAAUCAACUAAAAAGUCUACCCACCUACACGGACCUGACGGGUAAUUAAUUCUUCGUCUCUAUCUCUCGAGUCAUCCUUAGUGUUGAACAUGGCACCCGUCCCCAUAUCACGGGAUCUCAUUCUCCACUGCUGGAUCAUCCGAUGUCGGGGAGACCUUUAGAGAGAGAAUAGAGAUGAGGGCGGCAGCUCUCGAGAGAAGGGCCUCGCAGGUCUUCCAGUCGCCAGCGACUUCUUCCCGGCCCUGUCGCGGAGAAAAAUUCCAGAAUGUACUCUCUUCUUCACCCGCAAGCCCAGUGCCAUGGACCACCGCUCUGCUCAUCCGAAUUGCUUAUCGUGUCUGGUCUCGGCCCAGCUGCUUUGGAGGAACGUAACGAGAGAGAGAGAGAGAGAGAGGGAGGUUUUUUAGUAAUAGGUUGAAAUAAAAAUAAAGAUGGGGUCUUUCCGCAGUUAAUGCUCCCAACAAUUUUAACCCGUUCCUGUGCGUAG
rnacentral:lncRNA from 1 species